UCGAACGCUGGCGGCGUGGCUAAAGCAUGCAAGUCGAACGGUGCACGUAGCAAUACGUGCAUAGUGGCGGACGGGUGAGUAAUGGAAGGAUGACGUACCCGGGACUCGGGGAUAGCGGCAGGGGCAACCCUUUGCGAAAGCGCCGGUAAUACCCGAUGACCCCGCGAGGUCGCAUGACCUUGCGGGCAAAGCUCCGACGGUCCUGGAUCGGUCCUUUCCCUAUCAGCUAGUUGGUGAGGUAAUGGCUCACCAAGGCUUCGACGGGUAGGGGGCGUGAGAGCGUGGCCCCCCACAUCGGAACUGAGACACUGUCCGGACACCUACGGGUGGGUGCAGCAACGAAUCUUCCGCAAUGGGCGCAAGCCUGACGGAGCGACGCCGCGUGCAGGAGGAAGUCCUUCGGGAUGUAAACUGCUGUCAGGGGUCAGAAACACAAUGAUCGACCCCGGAGGAAGCCCCGGCUAACUUCGU
rnacentral:rRNA from 1 species